rnacentral:ncRNA from 1 species
UUCUUUAAAUGAUGCAGCACGGAUACAGAGAAUUUAAAUAACCGGCCCCAAGAUUAAGGGAUAAGCUUCAUCGUCAAGAGGGAAAUAGCUUGGAUCAACAGCUCAAAUUCUUAAAUGACCACUCAGUGAUAAAUGAGGUAGGGAUGCAGAGACAACUAGGAAGUUUGCCUAGAAGCUACCUAUGAAAGAGUGCAUACUAGCUCAUUGAUAACGCUCUUGCGUCAGAGAUGAACGGCCUAAGUAUGUCUGCAGAAACUGUGAGCUGUAAAAUACGAGCAUGCAAACUUAGAGUUAGAGAA